rnacentral:rRNA from 1 species
UUCGCAAUGCCCGAAAGGGUGACGAAGCGACGCCGCGUGCGGGAAGAAGGCCUUCGGGUUGUAAACCGCUGUCGGGAGUUAAGAAAUGCAAGGGUGUUAAUAGUAUCCUUGCUUGACUAAGGCUCCGGAGGAAGCCACGGCUAACUCUGUGCCAGCAGCCGCGGUAAUACAGAGGCGGCAAGCGUUGUUCGGAGUUAUUGGGCGUAAAGAGCACGUAGGCGGCUGUGUAAGUCGGUUGUGAAAGCCUUCCGCUCAACGGGAGAACGGCAUCCGAUACUGCAUGGCUUGGGUGCGGGAGGGGAGAGUGGAACUUCUGGUGGAGCGGUGAAAUGCGUAGAUAUCAGAAGGAACACCGGCGGCGAAGGCGACUCUCUGGCCCGUAACUGACGCUGAGUGUGCGAAAGCUAGGGGAGCAAACGGGAUUAGAUACCCCGGUAGUCCUAGCCGUAAACGAUGGGCACUAAGUAGAGGGGUUUU